GGGCGAGUGGCGAAAUUGGUAGACGCACUAGCUUCAGGUGCUAGCGAUCGCAAGAUUGUGAGAGUUCGAGUCUCUCCUCGCCCACCA
rnacentral:tRNA from 1 species